rnacentral:rRNA from 1 species
AUUGAACGCUGGCGGCAGGCCUAACACAUGCAAGUCGAGCGGAUGAAGGGAGCUUGCUCCUGGAUUCAGCGGCGGACGGGUGAGUAAUGCCUAGGAAUCUGCCUGGUAGUGGGGGAUAACGUCCGGAAACGGGCGCUAAUACCGCAUACGUCCUGAGUGAGAAAGUGGGGGAUCUUCGGACCUCACGCUAUCAGAUGAGCCUAGGUCGGAUUAGCUAGUUGGUGGGGUAAAGGCCUACCAAGGCGACGAUCCGUAACUGGUCUGAGAGGAUGAUCAGUCACACCGGAACUGAGACACGGUCCAGCCUCCUACGGGAGGCAGCAGUGGGGAAUAUUGGACGAUGGGCGAAAGCCUGAUCCAGCCAUGCCGCGUGUGUGAAGAAGGUCUUCGGAUUGUAAAGCACUUUAAGUUGGGAGGAAGGGCAGUAAGUUAAUACCUUGCUGUUUUGACGUUACCAACAGAAUAAGCACCGGCUAACUUCGUG